CCUACGGGGGGCAGCAGUGGGGAAUAUUGGACAAUGGGGGCAACCCUGAUCCAGCCAUGCCGCGUGUGUGAAGAAGGCCCUCGGGUUGUAAAGCACUUUCAGUGAGGAAGAACGCCUGGUGGUUAAUACCCAUCAGGAAAGACAUCACUCACAGAAGAAGCACCGGCUAACUCCGUGCCAGCAGCCGCGGUAAUACGGAGGGUGCGAGCGUUAAUCGGAAUUACUGGGCGUAAAGCGCGCGUAGGUGGCUUGAUAAGCCGGUUGUGAAAGCCCCGGGCUCAACCUGGGAACGGCAUCCGGAACUGUCAAGCUAGAGUGCAGGAGAGGAGGGUAGAAUUCCCGGUGUAGCGGUGAAAUGCGUAGAGAUCGGGAGGAAUACCAGUGGCGAAGGCGGCCUUCUGGACUGAUACUGACGCUGAGGUACGAAAGCGUGGGUAGCAAACAGGAUUAGAUACCCUUGUAGUC
rnacentral:rRNA from 1 species